UGACUUGCAUUAUAUAGACGGAAACAGGUGCACCACUCUUCACUCUUCUUUUGUCUUACACAGAAGAAAGAAAGGACGGACUGAGCGACGCACAGUAGUCGUAUUGAACAUCUUAGCACUCGCAUACCAACAUACUACAAAAAACUCAAAACACCUUUGUGACCACAUAGCAACGCCCUGGCAACCAUCCACAGCACUCUGGCACCGUGGCAGCGACUUUUGCACUGAUGCAGAUACAGAAGAUCUGUUUCCAUGCCUAAUGUACAGUUGUGUGAAAAGCAAGAGCUAAUGAAGAUGUUAAAAUAAGCAUUUCAACCAGCGCCGGUCCCGUGAAUUAGCAUAUCUGCCAGUUCACGCUGUCUGGUCUCUCCUCAUGUUUUGAUGUGUUGGAUGUGUGUGGGAGGAAAGGCAACAGGGUGUGCGUGUGACCAGCAGAAGAGUGUGUAUCUGAAGUGCUGGGUGAGUACAAA